rnacentral:rRNA from 1 species
UAUUGGACAAUGGGGGCAACCCUGAUCCAGCCAUGCCGCGUGAGUGAUGAAGGCCUUCGGGUUGUAAAGCUCUUUUGGCGGGGACGAUGAUGACGGUACCCGCAGAAUAAGCCCCGGCUAACUUCGUGCCAGCAGCCGCGGUAAGACGAAGGGGGCUAGCGUUGUUCGGAAUUACUGGGCGUAAAGCGAGUGUAGGUGGUUGUCGUAGUCAGGCGUGAAAGCCUUGAGCUCAACUCAAGAAAUGCGCUUGAUACUGGGCAGCUAGAGGACCGGAGAGGAUAGUGGAAUUCCCAGUGUAGUGGUGAAAUACGUAGAGAUUGGGAAGAACACCAGUGGCGAAGGCGGCUAUCUGGACGGUUUCUGACACUAAGACUCGAAAGCGUGGGGAGCAAACAGG